AGUGAACGCUGGCGGCAGGCCUAACACAUGCAAGUCGAACGCCCCGCAAGGGGAGUGGCAGACGGGUGAGUAACGCGUGGGAAUAUUCCCUUUGGUUCAGGAUAGCCCCGGGAAACUGGGAUUAAUACUGGAUAAGAUCUACGGAUGGAAGAUUUAUCGCCGAAGGAUUAGCCCGCGUAAGAUUAGUUAGUUGGUGAGGUAACGGCUCACCAAGACAAUGAUCUUUAGCUGGUCUGAGAGGAUGAUCAGCCACACUGGAACUGAGACACGGUCCAGACUCCUACGGGAGGCAGCAGUGAGGAAUAUUGGACAAUGGGCGCAAGCCUGAUCCAGCCAUGCCGCGUGAGUGAUGAAGGCCCUAGGGUUGUAAAACUCUUUUAGUGGGGAAAAUAAUGAUGGUACCCACAGAAAAAGCUCCGGCUAACUUCGUGCCAGCAGCCGCAGUAA
rnacentral:rRNA from 1 species